rnacentral:rRNA from 1 species
UAGUCCACGCCGUAAACGAUGUCAACUAGCCGUUGGAGAUCUUGUAUCUUUAGUGGCGCAGCUAACGCGAUAAGUUGACCGCCUGGGGAGUACGGCCGCAAGGUUAAAACUCAAAUGAAUUGACGGGGGGCCCGCACAAGCGGUGGAGCAUGUGGUUUAAUUCGAUGCAACGCGAAGAACCUUACCAGGUCUUGACAUCCUGAUAACUUUCUAGAGAUAGAUUGGUGCCUUCGGGAAAUCAGUGACAGGUGCUGCAUGGCUGUCGUCAGCUCGUGUCGUGAGAUGUUGGGUUAAGUCCCGUAACGAGCGCAACCCUUGUCCUUAGUUGCCAGCACGUAAUGGUGGGAACUCUAAGGAGACUGCCGGUGACAAACCGGAGGAAGGUGGGGGACGACGUCAAGUCUUCAUGGCCCUUAUGGGGCUGGGGCUACACACGUGCUACAAU